rnacentral:lncRNA from 1 species
GAAUUAUUUUGGGAUCUCAACUAGCAUAUUUAAUGAGCUUACAUAUAAUCGCAGGGGGUGUUGGGCAAUUGACUCAUGCUGAGAUUUAAAAGAUAGAUGAAAGGAUGCAGAGGAGUAGAUGCUGGGAAAUAUCUCCUGGAUGGACAUACUCAGGGCAUGCCUGUGUCUUAGGAUAAAAACACUGGAAAAAAAUGAUAUAUGCAUAUGGAUGCAAAAAUAUCAGAAUUCCUUGGAAGUUUCUCAUAUUUCCCCCAUUCCUCAGCAGGCGCUGCCAAGAUGCCUUUGGGCUUGAUUAUGUGUCUAUUAUCAGCAACCACUCCCUGUAUAUUAAUAAGAGGAUUCGGGUUGGGCUGCCUAACUGCUGAAGGAGGCUUAAAUUAGCUACUUAGUUACAAGUCGACAUUUCUGUACUUAUCACAGCAUAAGGUGCAGGGUGGGAACCCAAAACGAUCAUCACUUUUGAAAGGAAAAGGGUAGAAACAGGGCCAAAUGCACAGCGCUUUAUGUGCAGCCAUUGCAGGAAGUACAACCAAAGUGCCAGAGGAAUGUUAUCUAGCAUCUUUCUGGGGGUGGCAGCAACGUACCAGGUCCCCAGUCGAUAUACGGGAAUGUGUGUGAGCUUCCUGAGAGGCUGUCCCUUCAGGUCUUGUCUCAGGGAAUGAAGGAAUGAAUGAGCAAUAUUAUCGUGGCAGGUACCCCCUCUUAAUUACAGCUGUCAAAAGGUGGAGAACAAUGAGCAGAGGUUUUUGGGGUUAGUACAUUCCUUCUGCCCACAUGCCUUUGGUCAGAUCUCAGGAACAGGGGAUCAGAGUCUAUGUGCCCAGCAGAAAGUAAGAAUUAGUUCAGGGAACAGUCCGUCUUUGCCACAAGGGGUAAGGACUCAAAUGUCCAGCCAGUCUAUGUGAUUUAUGGCUCCAGAUCUCUAGAGGCUCUGUGACCUCCUGAGAGGGUGGACAGCAGAUCUGGAGGAGCAAGCAGACGCUGCAUGGCAUGGCAACCCGGAGUUGAAGCAUUGAGGUCCUCCUUCUGGGACUCCCAACAGCUGCUUCCAGACAUCCCUCCCUAAGACCACCUGCCUUUUACUUGGGACUCCUCCUGUGCCUUUUUAGAAAAAGAACACACACAGUUUGUGCAAGACAGGUCCAUUUCAUUUCUAAGGAAGCAGGAUGUAGUGCAAAGAUCAUGGACUGGAGGCCACAGAGACCUGGGUUCAAAAUUCCCACCUGUCAUUUAAAAAUGAACUUGACCAAGUUAGAGUCUCAGAAUCUCAUCUAUAAAGUAGGGCUAAUAAAACCAAUGUUUGCAACUGUCAUUCCCAUAGUGUCAAUCUGAGAAUCAGAUGGGAAAGCCUGGGGAAAAGCGAUGCAUAAAUUUUAUAAUAUUAUUGAUCCAGAGGGGGUUAUCAUGUAAAUAUUGAAGAUGUGGCAGCAGCCAUUCAAAUCAAAUCAUGCCUAGAUACAACAUACUUUUAAAGGGCAUACUGCUUUUUUAGGGGAGAUUUACUGAUUUCUUUUCAUUAUGAUACUAGCAUCCAUAUUCAUAUAAACCACGACUGAUUGCACAGUGUAUUUUCCAGGAUUUUGUUAGUUGGUCAUUCCUAGAUUUCCUAGCUAGUUAUGCUAACUCUGUUGUUCUAAGUAAGCACAACCAUAGUCUUAUGAAGACAAGUCUUUUGAGGAAAUAUCCUGAACCAUCAAUGGCAACAUACAUCACAAUUGUUAAUUGGGACCCUAGGCUUAAACCAUUGUGUGACUUUUCCUAAGUCCAUGGGUCUGUGGGACAGCUCUGGGAAGGAGCCAGAAGCUACUUAGAGAAUCCAGGAUUCUAAACACUAUACUGUUUGUCUCCACCAAGGAGAACUACCUUCUGUUAAUCUCCUUGAGACCACUUCACAAUCUGCCAGAAGGGAAGGGGAGAGGUAUGGUGGUGUCUCCCCCUCAAGUUAGAAGGACACUCAACUGUGAAAGCUGAGUUAGGAGACUUGAACUUCAACAAAGAAAGAGGGAGACGAGAAACUCCUACGGAGGAUACUUUUCGCUGCAUUCAGUGUCUGUUCAGAUAUACUGAGAACAUUAAGGCUUUCAAUUUAAAUUCUUUCUGAGAUGGAAGAACAUUAUUAUGAAGAGAUACUUUUUUAGGAAGCUAAGUGUCUUCAACCUGUUACCUUGCUGUAUUUCAAAGUGGUCCCUCUCAGCAUUUGUGCAUGCCAGGAACUGAGCAGAAUUAUUCUGCCCAUCACCUGCCAAUCCAGGACUAGAAUAUUCUAAAAUUCUCACCCAAUCUUGCUUACCAAGAUGACUGAUUGUUUUUUUUUAGCAGUUCUUUUUAGAAUGUAUAAUUAUACUAAGGACCCAUCCACCUGCUCCACAGUCUGUCAAUUGUCUUAGUUCCUUUAUACUUCAUUCUUUUCAAUUUUACACACUGUUGUCUGAUCUCUAAGGAAGACUCCCUUCUCCUAAGCCUCCUUGGGGACCUUAAACACUCAAUCCUCGUCACGUCUGACCACUCCUCUCUGGUCCAUAACACAAAUGCCUUCUCUCUUCUCUCUUUGGGUAUCACUGUCAUUCUCUUUCCUACUCUUUCUUUUCUAAUGGAUUGUUCUCACAAAUGCUCUUACCUUCCUCCUCCCACGUGGGAGUGAAUCUCAAGAGCCUCAAUUCUGGUCCCUCUGCAUCUUCUCUCCAUAUUUUCUACCAGAGAAAGGUCAAGCAUCACCACCAGCACCUUCAUUUGCCACCCCCUUUUUCUAUCUCCACCUUGCUGAUCACCUGCAGUCCAGAAGAACUGAAAACUUAUUAUAUUUAAUGUAUGACUUGAUAGUACUGCAUGUCUAUAAUGGCUUGCAAGUAUAUAAAACUCACCGACUAAAAUAAGGUGGACUCUAUAGAGAUGAAACUCAAUAAGAACUGGAUUUUUUUUUUUUUAACGCCAUUGUCCUCUGGCAAGCUCUUUGCAUGAUUCUUCUUUGCACCCUAGGUGAACUCUUACUUGGGUCUGAUAAUUAGUUUUAUAUUUCAAUUUGACGGGGCUAAGGGAUGCCCAGAUAGCUGGGAGAACAUUAUUUUUGGUGUUGUCUCUGAAGGUGUUUCUGGAAGAGGUUAGCAUUUGAUUCAGGAAACUGGGUAUAGAAGAUCCUCCCUCCCUUGCGUGGGCAGGCAUCACCCAUGUGGGGUCCGAAUGGAACAAAAAGGCUAAGGAUGGGCAAAUUCUCUUUCUCUUCUUGAGCUGGGUGGCCAUCUUCUCCUGUUCUUGGGCAUUAGAGACACUGGACUCUAGAACUUAUACUAGUGGUCCCCUGGGUUCUCAGGACUUUGACGUUGGACUGAAUUAUGCCACCAGACUUCCUGGUUUUCCAGCUAGCUGACAGCAGGUCAUGGGACUUCUCAGCCUCCACAUGAGCCAACGCCUAUAGUAGAUCUCCUCCUAUAUAUCUACAACUCUGUCUCUGUCUAUAUCUCUGUGCACAACCAUAUCUAUCCUAUUGGUUCCAUUUCUCUGGAGUACCCUGACAAAUACACCGGAU